rnacentral:lncRNA from 1 species
GUAAAAACAGGCUCAUUUCUAGAGCUCAGCGAUGGCAUCAGACUUUACAUCACUGGUAAGUUACUUCUAAGUCAACUGCAAUUAACACAUCAAAUUUGCUGUUAUAUGUAUAUACUACUUAUAUUAUAAAUUAUCUAAAAACUAAUUAUUAUCUGUGUUACUGCAAUAUAUACUUUUACCCUUAUCAGAGGUGUUUAAUCAUUUAUUGGCAAUAAAAAUGCAAAACUUAUACAAUUAUACAGAAUCUAUCCGAGAUCAAAAUCAAACAGAAUACAACAAUCAUGCACAAUCACAAGGUGAAACAACCCUCAAGAUUCACAAGAUUCUGACUGUUACAUCCUUCCUAUUCAACAUUUUGCUGAUCAUUGCAAUAGGUCUGUUAAUGCUCAAACUUAAGAAGCCAAGAAAAAGUCAACAUCAACCCCAGAAUGUCGAAACAGUACCACUUGAUGACUUGAACACUGCACAGGUAAGACUUAAAUUGCUAUACGAUACAGUUGCCAUUUUAGUUCAUAGUACAAAAUGUUUCCAAAAUUUCCAGGCAACAGCUAAAAUGUCUCAAGUUAUUCUAGUGUUAGCGGAAGGUGUUAAGAAACUCAUUACUUGUGAAAUGAUGAUGAUGGAGAUCAUUCUUCAGAUUUCAUAACUCGUGACGAUUUGUGAAACAUCUUAAGCAACUAAAACACAGUUAGCAGAAAUAACUCUACUAGAUGUUCUAAAAAUUCCCAAAUGUUUCACAAAAUUAACCAAACGUGUUCACAUGUGUGGUGAAGAUGUUUAUAAAGUGGCUAACUUCGUUGUUAUUGUUCUCGUAGUAUUCUGAAAUCGAGUUGCGCACAUGUUCCAGAAGAGAAAAUCCCAUUCAGAUAAACGGCACUUAUGUACUUCUUCAGAAGCCAAAGCCGCAUCUUAAAGCAGAAGUCAUCACAUCUUGCAACCUACAAAGUUAUAAUGAGGCAGUCUGACACCUUCUGUGGGUGUACCCUUUUCGGUAGGAUCAAGUUUUAUAAAGGUCAAUGUGUUUCCGUCACUGUUUGAAUGAAAUCAUGUUAUUUACUUAUUUAUAAAAUACAUAAUUUGGAUGUGUGUUGC